CUACGGGCUGCUCCAGUGGGGAAUAUUGCACAAUGGGGGAAACCCUGAUGCAGCGACGCCGCGUGAACGAUGAAGUAUUUCGGUAUGUAAAGUUCUAUCAGCAGGGAAGAUAAUGACGGUACCUGACUAAGAAGCACCGGCUAAAUACGUGCCAGCAGCCGCGGUAAUACGUAUGGUGCAAGCGUUAUCCGGAUUUACUGGGUGUAAAGGGUGCGUAGGUGGUAUGGCAAGUCAGAAGUGAAAGCACGGGGCUCAACCCCGUAACUGCUUUUGAAACUGUCAAACUAGAGUGCAGGAGAGGAAAGCGGAAUUCCUAGUGUAGCGGUGAAAUGCGUAGAUAUUAGGAGGAACACCAGUGGCGAAGGCGGCUUUCUGGACUGUAACUGACACUGAGGCACGAAAGCGUGGGGAGCAAACAGGAUUAGAUACCCUAGUAGUC
rnacentral:rRNA from 1 species